CAGUUUCUACAGGACGGUGUGUUGACCGGAGUCAUUGAGGGGUUUAUAAACAAUGGAGAAAAUAACAGAGAAGCUUUUACUGGAGAAAGGCUCUCCAAAAACCAACAAACUGGAGCAAAUCAAAACCCUGAAUCUGUCUAAGAUGGGGCUGCAGCUCCAGGACUUGUCUGUGAAGCUGCUGUCGCGCCUCCGGGCCCUGGAGCGGUGGGAUCUGUCUGAGAACAGACUGCAGGGCUUUCACAAGAACCUGGAGCUGCCCAUGCUCCGAUACCUGGACCUCAGCGACAACCAGAUGGAGGACGUCACCACUCUGGAGUCUCUCAGCGGCCUAGAGGAGCUCAAGAUGGACGACAACCUUUAUAUCACAGUGAGUGACAACUACAAGCUGAUGGUGUUGUUGCCCAAUCUGAGGAUCUACAACGGUAAAGAUGUCAGUACGACGGCCAACCACUUACGCUACGUCUACAGCGACAACCUGAGGACGAGGGUUAUUGCACUUUGGGGGAAGAGCUUCAGUCUCCCAAAUCCCAUCACACCAGAGAAACUGGCCGCCUUGGAGAGCAGCUUUGUCAACACGGCCCGUCAGCAAGUUAAAUUCGGACCCAGUUCAGUCAGUGACUUCACCAAAUGGAAGGUGGAGAUUAUCGCGAAGGAGUAUCUGCGCUCACUGACUGACCCAGAUAGCAAAGAGGAGUCUGCUGACACUGAAGAGAUCUGUGAUGUGUCAAUGCCCAGCAAGAGGAAACAAACUGAGUCAGAAACCGACACCAGCAUCAGUUUUACACCCUGCAAAAAGCUGCGCUCAGACCUGACAGCGUCUCUGGUCAAAGACAGUCCUCGCAAGUCCAGCCUCCGCCUCAAACCUCAGACCUUGACCGAGACUGCCGUGGCCAGGUCGAGCCCCCGCAAGACGAGCCAGCCUCCCUCCACCCCCACUAGAGGGCAGCUGAGAGCAGAGACACCCGGCAGGAGGAGUUCCAAAGCGCAGCAAAGCCAAGAGGAUGGACCGCAGACCAAACAGCUGAAGGCCACACAGCUGCAGAGAGGCAACGACAUGCCACCCGGGAUGAGGAGCCUGAGCAACACACAGCCGGUGCAUCUGAAGCCGCUCCACGUGCUUCAGUGUCACAGCAAACAGGACAACCCGGAGGACUUCUCCACCCAGUUGUGGGCCUGCGCCUUUCAGCCGGACUUCUCUGGUGGUGGAGGAAGCCGUUUGGUGGCUACCUGUGGAGGAGACUCUGUCUGUGUGAUCGACUGUGAAACAGGGAUGGUGAUGAAGAAGUACAAAGUCUCUGGAGAGGAGUUCUUCUCUCUGGCCUGGUCCACGGUGCUGAUGUCCAGAGGAGGCACAGCUUCGGCUCAGCAAUGCAGCAUUCUUGCAGCUGGCGGGAAGAGAGGACUGGUCAAACUGAUCCAUCCCAGAAACAACGUGGCGUACGGGGAGUUCAGAGGCAGCAAGAAGUCGCUGUCUGUCCUCCGCUUCAACCCCCGGCAAGGAAACUUCCUCUUCACCGGAUCAUAUGACAACAAGAUCACAUUGUGGGACAUUGGUGGAGUGGACAGCCAGUACAACUUCAAAGUUGUUCAGCUGCUGGUGUUAGAGGUCAGUGCCACCCCUCUGCACAUCUGUCUACCCCCGACUACCCCCAACACACACCUGCUGACUGCCUGCGAGGACGGACUGCACUGCUUCAACACGCAACUGGGAACCAACAACACCACAAAGAGUAGGUCAGAGGAGAUGGAGAUAACUUUCCCCAUUUAUAAGAAAGAAGAUGAAGACCACGACUACCACAUCAUCGAUGGCUUGAGCUUUCUUAAUGAUGACAUAGUGGCCUCUAAGAACUGCAUGCACGGUUCCAUUUACUUGUGGAGCUGGAGCAGGACCAAGGCUCAGCGGCCGAACAAGAAGAACAGGACCGUGUGUGCUGUGGUUCUGGCCGAGCUGCAGUGGGCCAACACCGAGAUUCCCUACCUGGCUCUCAACACUUGUCCAGGUCGAGCGUACGUGGUGUGCGGUGACAACAGAGGCAGGCUGUGGACGUACCACGUCACUGACCUCCAGAAAAACAGUUUCCAGACGGGGAAGCCCAUCCAGCCCACUGAGGUGUUGGAGUGGCCGACCCCGAUGAGGAACGGCCUCAGCCAGACAGAGGGUCCCUCCAUCAACAAUGUAGCGACGGACCCCGAGCUUCGCUACCUGGUCGCCCUCAGCGACAAGAACAUGGUGAUAGUAUGGAAGAGAGACGAGUCGUCCUGAGUGACUGUACGAGCCAAGCAGAUUGCUACAGUUUUUUGGGAUAUAAAUUAGCCGGGCGUCACAGAAAUGCAAAUUAGUUUGGAACCUCUGAGUUGAUUUUUGAUUAUCAAGGCUUCGACUAAAAUGCCUCUGAAAGUCUGUUUUAGCAGGACGGGGCCCAGAUUGCAUUUUGCCACCGCAAAUUAAACAUCUGGUUCUCAGGCUACAUAUUUUUAGUAGCGUCAAGAAUGAGUUCAACAUACCAAAUUUUGAUAUUUUUUUUGGUUAGAUAUGAAAAUAUUGAAGACAGGAUGGUCCAUAUCAGCGUUAACGUCCAUGCGAGAUGUUUCCUGAUAACGUUUCAAUCUGUUUUCCUUUUCCUUCUCAUUUUCUUCAUAAUCUUUGUGGGAAAAGUGGCUUUCAUGGUGACGAACUGAAAGUAGAAUAACAAUAUUCUUUUUAAGUGUAAUACAUAGACUUUGGCAUUAAACUCUGUCACUUGCAGGGUUUUCGAUGACACUUAAAGGUGUUUGUUGUUGCUAUGUAACCUUUUUAUCUGCUGAUUUGUUGUUUGAAACAAAACACAUUUACUCUAUUUAAUUCUAAAAAAUUAAUUGGCCCUGUGCAUUUUUAAAAAAAUCUAAUUCCUUGUCAAAGGUUGUGUCUGUAAAUGAGAUUCUGCUCAGCUGUAGUGAAAAGUUGCUCGCUCUUGUUACCAUGGUGCCACAACAGCAAUGAUGAUGGUUUCUGCUUGAUUUAUUUCAGCAUGAGGGCCCAGGUAGAUGGAUGAGAACCACUGAGAUACUUAAAGUUGCUAAUUUUCACAUUAGCGAUCAAUAUUUUAAUUUUAACAAUGGAUCAAAUGAAUGUGUGUGAUGUAAAAGAGGCCAACCGCAGUGAGGAAUGGUUUCAGUAACAAGGAUUCAUUUGUGCAGACAGAGUGAGUGACUAGCAGGUGAACACAGUAGAGAAUUUAGCAGCAACAGGAGACAUUAACAGACAGAAAAUAUUUGUUUUGUUUUAUUAGAAAAAAAAGCUCCAGGAAAAAUGCUGCUAAACGCCUGAGGGAUGUAUGAAAAGAUGUAGCUGUGUUUUUUAACCUCUAUGUGAGUGAGCCUUGUGCUGUUUAAAGGACAGGUUUGGUUAGAUGUGCAGCUUUAGCAGGAAAAAAGCAGCACAAUGUGUCUCUCCCUGCUGGAUAAUUAUAUUGAUUUGAACAGAAACGUAUCAUUUACUGCCCACAGUAGUACAAUACUGUGUCAACGUGCAAUCCGCCGUGUUUUUAUGUGCUGUGAAGCUGUACAUUUACUUUCAUUUCAUUAAAAGGACAUUUUUAACUUUCA